GACGAACGCUGGCGGCGUGCCUAAUACAUGCAAGUAGAACGCUGAAGCGAGGAGCUUGCUCUUCUUGGAUGAGUUGCGAACGGGUGAGUAACGCGUAGGUAACCUGCCUUGUAGCGGGGGAUAACUAUUGGAAACGAUAGCUAAUACCGCAUAACAAUGGAUAAAACAUUUCAUUUAUUUUAAAGGGGCAUUUGCUCCACUACAAGAGGAACCGGCGUGGUAUUAGUUAGAAGGUGAGGUAAUGGCUCACCUAGGGGACGAUACAUAGCCGACCUGAGAGGGUGAUCGGCCACACUGGGACUGAGACACGGCCCAGAAUCCUACGGGAGGCAGCAGUAGGGAAUCUUCGGCAAUGGGGGCAACCCUGACCGAGCAACGCCGCGGGAGUGAAGAAGGUUUUCGGAUCGUAAAGCUCUGUUGUAAGUCAAGAACGGGUGUGAGAGUGGAAAGUUCACACUGUGACGGUAGCUUACCAGAAAGAGACGGCUAACUACGUG
rnacentral:rRNA from 1 species